CGUCCCUAUUCCUCCUUAAUCGCUGAACCCUUCCUCACCUUAUCUCGUCGCCGCCCCGAUUCUUCCUCCUCUAUCGCGUCGUUUAUUCUAUGCUCUUCUUCUUCUCCUCAUCUUCUCCAACCGGCGCCCCUUUCUCUUCUUCUGCGUCAUCUUCCCUCCUCUGUCGUUGUCUCCUCGUCGCAAAGGUCCUCACCGCGCCGAUUAUCAUGAGAGCACCGCCGGCAGUAGUCCUUCUCUCCGCGAGCCUCACCAACACCAAGCUCUCUGAGCUAUCAGGCAGCCUGAUCCUCUUCUACUUUUUCCCCUUGCGUCUUACCCUAGAUGCAACCGGCGGCAUCGCAUCCAACCACAGUACCUGUAAUUUUGGGUGGCUAGCGUCGCCGCCAUCUCUUUCACCGGCUACCACUUCUUCCUCUUCCAUUUGCCACCGUUGGAGAGCUGAGUACACAUGAGAGUAGGGUUGUUCUUCCGCGUAUCAGUAGUUGCGAGGGGUUACCACGUGUUGCCCCCUUCAAUUGUGUCAUGGCCAUCCGGUCAGCCACAAGGAGAUCCAUUAUUGCGGUGACCUCAUUUGUGCUUGGAUUUGUGACACUGUCGUGUAUCAGUGAAUUCUGAGGCGGUGAGGGCUGUUGGACAGAUUUACCAUCGUCGGAAGAACCACAAACUACUAAUAAGGUAUCAUGCAGGAUACCAAGAGCAAACGUUGCAUUAGCCACAACAACCAAGAGCAAAUGUUGGAUUCAAAACCAUCUUUUAAUCUUUUUCUUGAUUUUCUCAACAAAAUUGGUUGGUUCAUUAAUUUGUACAAGAGAAGCAAUUUAUCUCAUGAAAUUCGAAGACAGGGAGGGCAAAAAGAAGAAAUUGAAGGCAUGCAUGCUAUUAGCUCGAGGAUGGAGGAACAAAUUAUUGAAAGGGAAAAAACUUGUUAUUAUAGAAAGUAGGCAGAGGGAAGAAAAUAUCAAGGAGAUGAUUCGGAAAUGAUUCAAGAAAUGAAAUAUACAAAUCAUUUAUAUCUAGGAAAAUUUGGUCUUUAUAGUUUGAUUAUUGGUCAAAUUUGUUUGGAUAAUGU